GCUGGGUGUGGUGGUGCGCGCCUGUAGUCCCAGCUACUCAGGAGGCUGAGGCAGGAGAAUCACUUGAACCCAGGAGGCAGAGGUUGCAGUGAGCUGAGAUUGCGCCACUGCACUCCAGCCUGGGCGACAGAGUGAGACUCUGUCUCAA
ensembl:misc_RNA Metazoa_SRP Metazoan signal recognition particle RNA